GACGUAGGGCGCGAGCGUUGUCCGGAUUUAUUGGGCGUAAAGAGCUCGUAGGCGGCUUGUCGCGUCGUUCGUGAAAACCCGGGGCUCAACUCCGGGCUUGCGGGCGAUACGGGCAGGCUAGAGUUCGGUAGGGGAGACUGGAAUUCCUGGUGUAGCGGUGAAAUGCGCAGAUAUCAGGAGGAACACCGGUGGCGAAGGCGGCGACCUGGGUAGAUACUGACGCUGAGGCGCGAAAGCGUGGGGAGCAAACAGG
rnacentral:rRNA from 1 species